UAAUCCUUUGCCUGGUCAAACAAUAUGAUUGUAUUGCCAUGAAUUGCCAUCGAAUAUAACAAUGAUUCCAGCCGGGCAAACGUAGAGCCAUAUACAUUUGGGUAUUUAUUAGUGCAGAUUUACUUUCCCCAUAAUGUGCACAGAGAACAUUGUGAGUAAACAUGAUCAACAAUGUGCAGUUUCCAUAAUCUGAAAAAUACAAACAGCAGUAAAUAUUUAGAUGAUACAUGCAUAAAUAAAUUUCGUUUCAACAAA
rnacentral:lncRNA from 1 species